CGCAUGAUGUCGGAAUCCUAUCCACGGGCGUGUCACCGUCUCGUCAUAUCGACUACGACAUUCCUCCUCGAGCGACUAAAUUCCGCACCUAUGGCGUGUGUAACACCAGUCUCAUUUCUCAGAUCGUCAAUCCUGUGCCGGACUUGCAAGUUUUUGCUGUGAUGAUGCACACUCAUACAGCUGGGAGAGAGAUCCGAGUGGGACAUUUCAGAAAUGGAGAGCAAUUGGGAUUUCUCGCCAUGAAUCUGAACUAUGACUUCAACCUGCAAGAGAUUACCAGAUUGGGAAGCAUCAAGACCAUCAAGCCGGUGAGCCCGCCUGCUGGGAGAGAUUC